UAAAUUUGUUAUUAGUUUGAUUUAUAUGUAAAUUUUUGUGUGAUUUUAUAUUUAUUUUAAUAAUAUUUAUAAAAUUUUAUUCGCAGUAAUUAAUUUUAUUAAUUAAAGAAAUUUAGAAAUAGCAAUAUUAAAAAGUAUUGACCAAAUUGGUGCCAGCAGUCGCGGUUAUACCAAUAAUACAAAUAAAUUUUUUUAGUAAUAGUUAAAUAAAUUUAAUAAAAUAAAAUUAAAUAUAUUAAGUGAAAUUUUAUAUUUAAAAUACUUUUUUAAAAAAUAAUUGAAGCUAAAAAAUUUUAAUAAA
rnacentral:rRNA from 1 species